rnacentral:lncRNA from 1 species
CAUUUCCUUGUCCAUGGGAUCUUCCCAAUUUAGGGAUCGAACUCUCAGCUCCUGUGUUGGCAACUGGGUUCUUUACCACUAAGCCACCAGGGAAACCCUAUACAUAAAAACAUACAUAUAUAUACAUAGCACACAAUGUUUCAUAGUUGUGAUCAUAUUUUACACACAAUAUUUUGGCUGUAUUUGAAGUUUGACAUGUCAGUUGUACACUGCAAAGUGAUAGCUAGAGAUGCCACUGUUAGUUGAAAGAUCUAGGACUUAUUGGAGAACUGUUCCAUACAAGUGUAGCAUCUUCAGGAGUCAGCUAAAGACAGAUGCUCCUGGAGGCAAUAAGGCAGGAAGAGAAACAGGUACUGGGAAAGGGAGCAGCAUCACUUGCACCACUCAGCCUGGGACUGCUGGAUGACAUCCUAAAGGACAGCUAGAAAGGGACAUCAUCUGAAGAGUCCUUGCAACUAUUUUGAAAAUGGAAAAGGCAAUAAAAGGAUAAAGCUUUUUGCUUCAGGAACAUAACAUGAAAAAGCUUUCAAGGAGUCUGCUGCUGGCUAAUUUAUUAUUAUAUUUAUCAAACACUUCCAUGGCACUACUAGGUAUUCAUGAUACCUCCAUGAAGUAUCAUGUUAUUAUUAUUCUCAGUAUGGAAAUUAAAAAGUGCUACAUGUUUUCACAUUUCUAAUUUCAUGCAGGGGCUUUGGGAUCUUAGGAAGCCAGAAGAACAGCAGUGUCCAACAGGACUUUACAAUACUAUGCAUGUAACACAUACUUUCCCAAGCCUUCUCUUCUAUAUCAACCACCAUCACAUUAAAAACUUUAAUCACAAUUCUCUAGUUGGAAAACUUUCCAGUCUUCUAGCUGUUUUUGCUGUCCUUAUAAGCCAAUAUUAAGAACCACAAUUAAAACAACAAUCAUAUUUGGGAUAAACAAUCAUCUGGGAUUUUCAAACCUACAGUGACAUUUUCUUAGGCUAUUUCAUACAAGUGAUUUAUGGUAACAAGAAAGAAAGAGAUUAUUAACAAAAAUUGAGUCUCAUAAAAUGAUACAAAUGACAAAAAACAGUAGCGGUAGCAAUGAAGCUCUCAUGUUGGCAGUGAAAAAAGGAGAGUAUACUUAUAAGAAUUGUAUAUUUAAUUCCUAUUGACUCCAUUGAGAGAGACAACUUUUAGCACUUUUAUGCUUCCUAGGAGAAGGCAAUGGCACCCCACUCCAGUACUCUUGCCUGGAA